rnacentral:rRNA from 1 species
UGUGUAGGCGGUCGUCCAAGUUUGGUGUGAAAUCUCCCGGCUUAACUGGGAGGGUGCGCCGAAAACUGGAUAACUGGAGUAUGGGAGAGGAAAGCGGAAUUCCUGGUGUAGCGGUGAAAUGCGUAGAUAUCAGGAGGAACACCUGCGGUGUAGACGGCUUUCUGGACCAUGACUGACGCUGAGACACGAAAGCGUGGGGAGCAAACAGGAUUAGAUACCCUGGUAGUCCACGCCCUAAACGAUGCAUACUUGGUGUGAGCCAUUCAGUUGGUUCGUGCCGGAGCUAACGCGUUAAGUAUGCCGCCUGGGGAGUACGGUCGCAAGGCUGAA